CCUACGGGUGGCUGCAGUUAUUAAUAUUUUUCCCUUUCCUCGCUUCUGCCCCCGCCCCGUCGCGUGAGGGAAGACGGCCCUACGGGUUGUAAACCUCUUUUGUCAGGGAGCAAGGUGCAGGUCGGGACCUGCUGUGAGAGUACCUGAAGAAAAAGCAUCGGCUAACUCCGUGCCAGCAGCCGCGGUAAUACGGAGGAUGCGAGCGUUAUCCGGAUUUAUUGGGUUUAAAGGGUGCGCAGGCGGAGGCACAAGUCAGCGGUAAAAUCGCGGGGCUCAACCCCGCUCCGCCGUUGAAACUGUGUCCCUUGAGUGCGCGAAGGGUAGGCGGAAUGCGUGGUGUAGCGGUGAAAUGCAUAGAUAUCACGCAGAACUCCGAUUGCGAAGGCAGCAUACCGGCGCCCAACUGACGCUGAAGCACGAAAGCGUGGGUAUCGAACAGGAUUAGAUACCCCAGUAGUC
rnacentral:rRNA from 1 species